GUUCCUACGGGACGCAGCAGUGGGGAAUCUUCCGCAAUGGGCGAAAGCCUGACGCAGCGACGCCGCGUGAGGGAUGAAGGUCUUCGGAUCGUAAACCUCUGUCAGCAGGGAAGAACGGUCACUGUGCUAAUCAGCAGUGAAUUGACGGUACCUGCAAAGGAAGCACCGGCUAACUCCGUGCCAGCAGCCGCGGUAAUACGGAGGGUGCGAGCGUUGAUCGGAAUUACUGGGCGUAAAGCGCUCGUAGGCGGUAUGUCAAGUCAAGGGUGAAACCCCCGGGCUCAA
rnacentral:rRNA from 1 species